GCAAUCUCAAGUCCAACUAGGAGCAGAGACCAUCCCUAAUACCUAACCAUAACCAACCCACACCCUAUGUCAGAUAAAUUCCAAACAUAUAACAAGGCUAAACAAUAAUAAUACCAAGACAUUAGAUAAAGUCUAUAAUCAUAAUCCAAAAACCUCAACCAAAUAUCCCACUAGUGCAAACUCAAAUGUCAAUACUAAUACCAAGGCUCAUACCAAUACCAACACUACCCAUGACCAUAGUAAUCCGACAAAGCCUCUAACUAGAAUCAAGUAACAUCCAAUCUAUACAUGCCCCCG
rnacentral:lncRNA from 1 species